rnacentral:rRNA from 1 species
CAGCCGCCGCGGGAAUACGGAGGGUGCAAGCGUUAAUCGGAAUUACUGGGCGUAAAGCGUGCGUAGGCGGCUUUUUAAGUCGGAUGUGAAAUCCCUGAGCUUAACUUAGGAAUUGCAUUCGAUACUGGGAAGCUAGAGUAUGGGAGAGGAUGGUAGAAUUCCAGGUGUAGCGGUGAAAUGCGUAGAGAUCUGGAGGAAUACCGAUGGCGAAGGCAGCCAUCUGGCCUAAUACUGACGCUGAGGUACGAAAGCAUGGGGAGCAAACAGGAUUAGAUACCCGCGUAGUCCCUGUCUCUUAUAC